rnacentral:lncRNA from 1 species
CAGACUGGACACUGGGAAAAAUGUCUUUGCUGGGAGUUUAGAUAACAUUGCAACAGGCUUCCUGGGAAGGUUGUUGAUGUUUUAAUUUUGGAUCAGCCCUGAAGUAGUCUGACAGUUGGAUUCUAUCAUCUUUGUAAGUCCUUUCCAACUGAACUACUCUGUUCUAUUCUAAUCUUGGAACACCAUGCAUUUGCUGACUGUAUUGAGAGAAGCAGCAGCACUUCACUAAGUAUAUUUUGUAUCCCUGCUCUACUGAGGUGGAUAUUUGGGCAAAUCUGAGCAAAUUAUUCUACUCUGAACACCAAGAUGAGAGGCAGUCAGCCAGUGAGGGCACAUCUGGAACAAACAGAAGGACAGUGAACAGCAACAUCCUGAGACAAAGCUUAGUUUUGCCAGAAGAGGGAGAGAUUUAUUUCACUCCAUAAUGAAAAAAUAAACUGGCAUAGGAAACUGUGAUUAUGGCUAAA